rnacentral:rRNA from 1 species
UAUGAGAGGGUUUUGGGGGUCCCCUGGACGAGAGGAACAAGUCAAAGGCCCACACCCCCCUGGGCACUGUAGAUUGGGUUUUGACAUAAAGCCCUCUGUGGCUGUAUUUUUCGCAACAAAAUCCCCCCUCGACCCGCCUUUUUUUUAAAAUUCCCUGCUUUUAGGGGGGCCUUUCGGCUCUCCCCUUCGAGGGGGGGGGAGGGGGUUAAUUGGGGGGUAACCCCCCUCCCCGGGGGGAUGGGUGUAAAAAUCAACCCGGGCGGGAGCGAGAACCUAAGAAAAAUGGGUGUUGGGACCCCUGGGAAAACACUUCCCCCCGUUGGAAAAAUCUCCAGCCGCUCCCGCCGUUGGGGUUUUUUUUUUUUAACCCCCCAAUCCUUCCAAAUUCGAGCUUUUUCCCUUUAAAAGUUUAAUCCGUGGGGGAGGUGUAAAAAACGUAACAAGGUCUCCGUUGGUGAACCAGCGGAGGGAUCAUUGCUGGAACAAACGCCCUCACGGGUGCUACCCAGAAACCCCUUGUGAAUUAUACCUAAAAAACUGUUGCCUCGGCUUUUGGUUGGCUUCCUUUGGGAGUCCCUUCGCAAGAAGGAGCAGACCGGCCGGUGGCCCUAUAAACUCUUGUUUUUGUAACAUCAUCUGAGUAAAAAAAAACUAAAUGAAUCAAAACUUUCAACAACGGAUCUCUUGGUUCUGGCAUCGAUGAAGAACGCAGCGAAAUGCGAUAAGUAAUGUGAAUUGCAGAAUUCAGUGAAUCAUCGAAUCUUUGAACGCACAUUGCGCCCGGUGGUAUUCCACCGGGCAUGCCUGUUCGAGCGUCAUUUCAACCCUCAAAGCCCUGGCUUUGGUGUUGGAGGAAUACCUGUUACAGGGUACCCUCUGAAAUUUAGUGGCGGGCUCGCUAGAAUUUUGAGCGUAGUAAUUUUACCUCGUUUUUAAAAGACUAGUGGGACUUUCUAGCCAUAAAACCCCCCAACUGGGAGAAAAAAAUCUCGGCUGCAGGAGGAUGGCCCAAGC